rnacentral:lncRNA from 1 species
CUGUAUUUUUAAUCGUCGUCUAGAUGCGAACGUAUGCUUUUGUCAUGCCGAAUAUGCACGGAAAGGCAAUGAGACUUUGGUCCCUUGCCGUUGCCAUCCUCGUACCUUUUUUAUGCAACCCUUCUGAAGGAGGAGAGCAUGGAGAACUGCGCAUAGACUUUGAGCCAGAGUAUUUCAAAUAUCAAAACAUCGCAAAGGUAUUCACUACACGUGAGAAGUUGUGGUUAUAUGGCAUGAACUACGAUUACAAAACUGAAGCCUGCGUCUACUUUGUGACAGAAGGCUUGUCAGAUAACGAAUUAAAUUACACGUACAACGUAUUAUUGGACGAUGGCAGUGAA